AAUAAAUUGACUGAUAAAAAGUAUUAGUUUUUUAAACUAAAAAUUAAUAAUUUUAAUUUAAUU
rnacentral:tRNA from 1 species